rnacentral:lncRNA from 1 species
UCAAAUACCCAAACAGGUUUUGAUAAGAAAAACAUAGAGAUACUAUAAAUUAAAAAAAUAUGCUUUCUAAACCAUAGAACUCGUCCUUAGCAUUCCAGCUAGGGAUGAGAAUUUCACCCAAACUCAAUGGAUCCUGAUCUGAAUUUGCCUAAAUGGAGGUAAUACCUGAACUAUUCAAACUCCGGUAAUACCUGAAAUGAAAAAAAAUCAGAUUUGGAUAGGCUAUGGAUAUUACUCUACCCUACCCGAGUCCCGAUUAAGACAAUUACAUUUAUGCCCCCUAUAUAUUCGGAGCAAAAAAUAGGGUAUCUCAGUUAACUCUGCAGGCAAUCUUCCCUUU